GUGCCAGCCGCCGCGGUAAUACGGAAGAUGCGAGCGUUAUCCGGAUUUAUUGGGUUUAAAGGGAGCGUAGGCGGGCGCUUAAGCCUGCGGUAAAAUGUCGAUGCUCAACAUCGUCCUGCCGUGGGAACUGGGUGCCUUGAAUGUGCACAAGGUGGAUGGAAUUCGUGGUGUAGCGGUGAAAUGCUUAGAUAUCACGAAGAACUCCGAUUGCGAAGGCAGUCCACUGGGGCAUGAUUGACGCUGAGGCUCGAAAGUGCGGGUAUCAAACAGGAUUAGAUACCCUGGUAGUCCGCACAGUAAACGAUGAAUGCUCGUUAUGGGCGAUACACAGUCCGUGACCAAGCGAAAGCAUUAAGCAUUCCACCUGGGGAGUACGCCGGCAACGGUGAAACUCAAAGGAAUUGACGGGGGCCCGCACAAGCGGAGGAACAUGUGGUUUAAUUCGAUGAUACGCGAGGAACCUUACCCGGGCUUGAAUUGCACUGGACGGGUGCCAGAGACGGCUCCCUUCUUCGGACCAGUGUGAAGGUGCUGCAUGGUUGUCGUCAGCUCGUGCCGUGAGGUGUCGGCUUAAGUGCCAUAACGAGCGCAACCCUCGCCGGCAGUUGCCAUCAGGUGAAGCUGGGCACUCUGCCGGGACUGCCAUCGCAAGAUGCGAGGAAGGUGGGGAUGACGUCAAAUCAGCACGGCCCUUACGUCCGGGGCUACACACGUGUUACAAUGGGGGGCACAGAGGGCGGCUUGCGCGCGAGCGGUGGCGAAUCCUUUAAAUCCCCUCUCAGUUCGGAUCGGAGUCUGCAACCCGACUCCGUGAAGCUGGAUUCGCUAGUAAUCGCGCAUCAGCCAUGGCGCGGUGAAUACGUUCCCGGGCCUUGUACACACCGCCCGU
rnacentral:rRNA from 1 species